AUUGAACGCUGGCGGCAGGCCUAACACAUGCAAGUCGAACGAGUGGCGGACGGGUGAGUAAUGUAUGGGAAUCUGCCCGAUGGAGGGGGAUAACUACUGGAAACGGUGGCUAAUACCGCAUACCAUCGGAUGAGCCCAGAUGGGAUUAGCUAGUAGGUGGGGUAACGGCUCACCUAGGCGACGAUCCCUAGCUGGUCUGAGAGGAGGACCAGCCACACUGGAACUGAGACACGGCCCAGACUCCUACGUGAGGCAGCAGUGGGGAAUAUUGCACAAUGGGCGCAAGCCUGAUGCAGCCAUGCCGCGUGUAUGAAGAAGGCCUUAGGGUUGUAAAGUACUUUCAGCGGGGAGGCGUUACUCGCAGAAGAAGCACCGGCUAACUCCGUGCCAGCAGCCGCGGUAAUUC
rnacentral:rRNA from 1 species